rnacentral:tRNA from 1 species
AGAGGAGUUGAUCAAUUUAUCGGAUCGGGACUGACGGG